UGCUAAAAUGGUAGGCAGGCCGGUGGGAGU
rnacentral:piRNA from 2 species